rnacentral:rRNA from 1 species
ACACCAGCUCUUCAAGUGGUCGGGAUAAUUAUUGGGCUUAAAGUGUCCGUAGCCGGUUUAGUAAGUUCCUGGUAAAAUCGGGUAGCUUAACUAUCUAUAUGCUAGGAAUACUGCUAUACUAGAGGGCGGGAGAGGUCUGAGGUGCUACAGGGGUAGGGGUGAAAUCUUAUAAUCCCGAGAGGACCACCAGUGGCGAAGGCUGUCGGCUAGCACGCGCCUGACGGUGAGGGACGAAAGCUGGGGGAGCGAACCGGAUUAGAUACCCGUGUAGUCC